rnacentral:tRNA from 1 species
CCUGGAGUAGUUCAGCGGCAGAACGCCCGGCUGGGACCGGGAGGGCGCGAGUUCGACUCUCGCCUCCAGGU